rnacentral:lncRNA from 1 species
CUGAGCUGCUGAUGGAUUGAAUACAUUGAGAAGGAAUGUGUCAUUUGGAAUCCAGGACCAGUCAGCAAGGAUAACUGCCUGAUUUUAUGAUUUCGUGACUGAUGCUGAAAUGGAAGCCAACCACUGCAGAAAUUUGGGGGAAAAUGAGAUCUGAAGAAUACAAGGGGAAGUAGGAAUUCAUUUCUAGCAUUUCCAAACCUGCUUAAUCGUGUCUGCUCCACCACAGUCAGAGGAAAAGACUGAGUUCAUGGAAAUUACCAGCUAAGCCUUACAUCUGUCUUUAAUGUUUUUAGGAAGUAUACUGAAAAGGUAAGUGAGAUGUCUGUUUUGAAGAAAGACUCUUACUGGGUACCUUAAAACCCGUUGUUUCCUAUUAGUAAAGAUGGGCAGCUUCUUUAUUCCUAGCUUCAAAAAGCCUUGCCCCUGUUUGGUGUGUUUCUCAGUAUUGUGGAGAAGGUAGUUUCUGAGCAAGGUGGUGCUUUUCCUCUGCUUCUCAGCAGCUAAGACAGAAAUUGCACCGAAGUGUACAAAGGGCCAAUUUUUGUUGUCCUGUUGUGCUCAAAUCCUUUUUUUUAAAAAAGUUAUUUCAAUCAAGUCUUAGUUUUAUUCCUCACUAUAUAGGAAAAAAAUCUUUAAUGCCUCAAAAGUUCCAUUCAGCAUUACAUUUGCAUUACUCUUAUUUGCAGCAAAUAUGAGUAAAAUUAUAGGUUUUUAAAGGUCUCUAAUAACAUCCACUUAUAUUGGUUUUGUAGAUAAUCCAUAAAUUACCAGAAAUAAAUUAUUCCACAUUUAUUACACACCCAUGUAAUAGAUGUCGUGCCAGGCCCUGGAAUAUACUAAUGGCAUCACCUCAUGUGGUAAAAAGACACAUUCCGCCAUCCUGGAGUAUACAAAGGUAGACUAGCAUAUAGUUCAUGUGCUCAAGGAGUUCAUUUUUAUUGACAUGAUACAGAUAGAAUUGUAGUUUAGGGAAUCAAAAUCUAAUAAAAUGAGGCUAAUUCCAUUUUCCCAUUAACACUAAUAACUAGUGUGUAAAUCUGAAUAUGACACAUUCUAUAUGAAAGAAGCUCUGUGUGCAUCUACACUAAAUACUCGUGUGUGCCAGGUACUGUUUUAAACUACGUAUAUUUUUUUAAUUCUCAUAACUGUUCUCUGAGGUAUGUACUAAUACUAAAGCUUAUUGUUAAAGGAAGGCAGAAAAAUUAAGUAACUUGGCCUAAGUUUGCAUAACUGUGAUCUGGGAUCAAUAUUUGAACCCAUACAGGCUGAUUGCAGAGCCUGCACUCUUAAUUUGAGUGUGAUAUUUAUGUGCAGUACCUGGCUAUAAGUACCCACAAAACGUUUCAAAUUCUUUAUAAAAUUUGCUUAGUUAAAAAAGUAC